rnacentral:rRNA from 1 species
UUUUGAUUAAGAGUUUGAUCCUGGCUCAGGAUGAACGCUGGCGGCGUGCCUAACACAUGCAAGUCGAGCGGAGUUUAUUAAAGGAAGUUUUCGGAUGGAAUUUAAUAAACUUAGCGGCGGACGGGUGAGUAACGCGUGGGCAACCUACCCUGUACAGAGGGACAACAACGGGAAACCGUUGCUAAUACCUCAUAAAACCCUAAAGGGGCAUCCCUU